rnacentral:rRNA from 1 species
UUAAGAUACUAAGAGCAUACGGUGGAUGCCUUGGCGAUAUCUGCCGACGAAGGACGUGACAAGCUGCGAAAAGCUGCGGAGAGAUGCAAAUAAUCGGCGACCCGCAGACAUCCGAAUGGAGAAAUCCGGCUGUGAUGAUGCACAGCCAUCCAUGCCCAAGAGCAUGAGAAGGGAACCGGGCGAACUGAAACAUCUAAGUAGCCCGAGGAAAAGAAAUCAAACGAGAUACCCCAAGUAGCGGCGAGCGAACAGGGAAGAAGCCCAAACCGGUGAAGGAAACUUUACCGGGGUUGAGGACCAUCAGACCCGCGAAGAACCUUAGCCGAAACUGUUGGGAAACAGUGCCGAAGACAGUGAAAGCCUGGUAGGCGAAAAAGAGAAACGCGGAGAUGGCACCGGAGUACCGCGGGACACGAGAAAUCCCGUGGGAAGCAGGGGGGACCACCCUCCAAGGCAAAACACAGAUAUCGACCGAUAGCGCAUAGUACCAUGAGGGAAAGGUGAAAAGCACCCCGGGAGGGGAAUGAAAGAGAACCUGAAACCGUAUGUUUACAAGCAGUCGGAGACCGCUUAAUAAUAAGGUCGACGGCGUGCCUAUUGAAGAAUGAACCGGCGAGUUACGAAGCCUGGCAAGGUUAAGCAGGAAAUGCGGAGCCGAAGCGAAAGCGAGUCUUAAGAGGGCGCAAGUCAGGAAGCGUAGACCCGAAACCACAGUGAUCUACCCAUGUCCAGGUUGAAACACAGGUAAAAAUGUGUGGAGGACCGAACCUAUAUCCGUUGAAAAGGGUUAGGAUGAGGUGUGGGUAGGGGUGAAAUUCCAAUCGAACGUGGAGAUAGCUGGUUCUCCCCGAAAUAGCUUUAGGGCUAGCCUCAGGGAAAAGAUUGCAGGCGGUAGAGCACUGAUCAGGAGAGGGACCUACCCGGUUACCAAACCCAGUCAAACUCCGAAUGGCUGCAAUCAUACCUGGGAGUCAGACUGCGACUAAUAAGGGCCGUAGUCAAAAGGGAAACAGCCCAGACCAUCAGCUAAGGUCCCCAAUGCCGUGCUAAGUGGCGAAGGAUGUGGCAUUUCAUAAACAACCAGGAUGUUGGCUCAGAAGCAGCCACCAUUUAAAGAGUGCGUAAUAGCUCACUGGUCGAGAGACGCUGCGCCGAAAAUGUCCGGGGCUCAAGCACGGAACCGAAGCUAUGGCAUGAUAGCAAUAUCAUGGGUAGGGGAGCGUUCUUAUAAGGAAGAAGCAUGACCGGAAGGACAUGUGGACGAAUAAGAAGUGAGAAUGCCGGUAUGAGUAUCGAAAAGAAAGGUGAGAAUCCUUUCCACCGAAAGCCCGAGGGUUCCUGAGCAACGAUCGUCGACUCAGGGUAAGUCGGGACCUAAGCCGAGGCGGAAAGCGUAGGCGAUGGACAACAGGUUGAAAUUCCUGUACCGGAUCAAGUCGAUCGAGCGAAGGAGCGACGCAGGAGGGCACAUGAUCGCGCGGCUGGAAGAGCGCGUCCAAGUGCGUAUGUUGCAGCAGAGGAAAACCCCUGCAGCUAAAAGCAGAGACAUGAUGGGGAGUUAAAGGAAACUUUGACGAACUCAUGGAUCCCACACUGCCAAGAAAAACUUCUAGCGAGACAAGAUCCGCCCGUACCGUAAACCGACACAGGUAGGCGGGGAGAGAAUCCUAAGGUGCGCGGGAAAACCCUCGUUAAGGAACUCGGCAAAUUGCAUCCGUAACCUAGGGAGAAGGAUGGCCCCCGGUCAGUGAAGAGCAGAAACGCUCAGAGCUAAAAGGGGCGGCAGAAAAGAGGCCCAAGCAACUGUUUACCAAAAACACAGGUGCCUGCGAAAGCGAAAGCUGAAGUAUAGGUGCUGACGCCUGCCCGGUGCCGGAAGGUUAAGGAGAGAAGUUAGCGAAAGCGAAGCAUCGAACUGAAGCCCCGGUGAACGGCGGCCGUAACUAUAACGGUCCUAAGGUAGCGAAAUUCCUUGUCGGGUAAG